rnacentral:rRNA from 1 species
UAGGUAGCGCCUCGUGAAUUCAUCUCCGGGGGUAGAGCACUGUUUCGGCUAGGGGGCCAUCCCGGCUUACCAACCCGAUGCAAACUGCGAAUACCGGAGAAUGUUAUCACGGGAGACACACGGCGGGUGCUAACGUCCGUCGUGAAGAGGGAAACAACCCAGACCGCCAGCUAAGGUCCCAAAGUCAUGGUUAAGUGGGAAACGAUGUGGGAAGGCCCAGACAGCCAGGAUGUUGGCUUAGAAGCAGCCAUCAUUUAAAGAAAGCGUAAUAGCUCACUGGUCGAGUCGGCCUGCGCGGAAGAUGUAACGGGGCUAAACCAUGCACCGAAGCUGCGGCAGCGACGCUUAUGCGUUGUUGGGUAGGGGAGCGUUCUGUAAGCCUG